rnacentral:tRNA from 1 species
GUGGUGGCUCAGUGGUAGAGUGCUUGCCUAGCAUGCAUGAGGCACUGGGUUCAAUCCCCAGCACCACG